rnacentral:rRNA from 1 species
CCUACGGGAGGCAGCAGUGGGGGAUAUUGCACAAUGGAGGGAACUCUGAUGCAGCGACGCCGCGUGAGGGAAGAAGGUUUUCGGAUUGUAAACCUCUGUCUUCGGUGACGAAACGAGACGGUAGCCGAGGAGGAAGCCACGGCUAACUACGUGCCAGCAGCCGCGGUAAUACGUAGGUGGCAAGCGUUGUCCGGAAUUACUGGGUGUAAAGGGAGCGUAGGCGGGAAAGCAAGUUGAAUGUUUAAGGUACGGGCUCAACCUGUACAAGCGUUCAAAACUGUUUUUCUUGAGUGGAGUAGAGGUAAGCGGAAUUCCUAGUGUAGCGGUGAAAUGCGUAAAUAUUAGGAGGAACACCAGUGGCGAAGGCGGCUUACUGGGCUUUAACUGACGCUGAGGCUCGAAAGCGUGGGUAGCAAACAGGAUUAGAUACCCCAGUAGUC